rnacentral:rRNA from 1 species
GAUGAACGCUGGCGGCGUGCCUAAUACAUGCAAGUCGAACGAGUUCUCGUUGAUGAUCGGUGCUUGCACCGAGAUUCAACAUGGAACGAGUGGCGGACGGGUGAGUAACACGUGGGUAACCUGCCCUUAAGUGGGGGAUAACAUUUGGAAACAGAUGCUAAUACCGCAUAGAUCCAAGAACCGCAUGGUUCUUGGCUGAAAGAUGGCGUAAGCUAUCGCUUUUGGAUGGACCCGCGGCGUAUUAGCUAGUUGGUGAGGUAAUGGCUCACCAAGGCGAUGAUACGUAGCCGAACUGAGAGGUUGAUCGGCCACAUUGGGACUGAGACACGGCCCAAACUCCUACGGGAGGCAGCAGUAGGGAAUCUUCCACAAUGGACGCAAGUCUGAUGGAGCAACGCCGCGUGAGUGAAGAAGGCUUUCGGGUCGUAAAACUCUGUUGUUGGAGAAGAAUGGUCGGCAGAGUAACUGUUGUCGGCGUGACGGUAUCCAACCAGAAAGCCACGGCUAACUACGUGCCAGCAGCCGCGGUAAUACGUAGGUGGCAAGCGUUAUCCGGAUUUAUUGGGCGUAAAGCGAGCGCAGGCGGUUUUUUAAGUCUGAUGUGAAAGCCCUCGGCUUAACCGAGGAAGCGCAUCGGAAACUGGGAAACUUGAGUGCAGAAGAGGACAGUGGAACUCCAUGUGUAGCGGUGAAAUGCGUAGAUAUAUGGAAGAACACCAGUGGCGAAGGCGGCUGUCUGGUCUGUAACUGACGCUGAGGCUCGAAAGCAUGGGUAGCGAACAGGAUUAGAUACCCUGGUAGUCCAUGCCGUAAACGAUGAAUGCUAGGUGUUGGAGGGUUUCCGCCCUUCAGUGCCGCAGCUAACGCAUUAAGCAUUCCGCCUGGGGAGUACGACCGCAAGGUUGAAACUCAAAGGAAUUGACGGGGGCCCGCACAAGCGGUGAGCAUGUGGUUUAAUUCGAAGCAACGCGAAGAACCUUACCAGGUCUUGACAUCUUUUGAUCACCUGAGAGAUCAGGUUUCCCCUUCGGGGGCAAAAUGACAGGUGGUGCAUGGUUGUCGUCAGCUCGUGUCGUGAGAUGUUGGGUUAAGUCCCGCAACGAGCGCAACCCUUAUGACUAGUUGCCAGCAUUUAGUUGGGCACUCUAGUAAGACUGCCGGUGACAAACCGGAGGAAGGUGGGGAUGACGUCAAAUCAUCAUGCCCCUUAUGACCUGGGCUACACACGUGCUACAAUGGAUGGUACAACGAGUUGCGAGACCGCGAGGUCAAGCUAAUCUCUUAAAGCCAUUCUCAGUUCGGACUGUAGGCUGCAACUCGCCUACACGAAGUCGGAAUCGCUAGUAAUCGCGGAUCAGCACGCCGCGGUGAAUACGUUCCCGGGCCUUGUACACACCGCCCGUCACACCAUGAGAGUUUGUAACACCCGAAGCCGGUGGCGUAACCCUUUUAGGGAGCGAGCCGUCUAAGGUGGGACAAAUGAUUAGGGUGAAG